rnacentral:rRNA from 1 species
CGCGUAGGUGGCGGGACAAGCGUGCGGUGAAAGCUCGGGGCUCAACCCCGAGUCGGCCGUGCGAACUGUUUUGCUUGAGCACUGUAGAGGCAGGCGGAAUUCCGGGUGUAGCGGUGGAAUGCGUAGAGAUCCGGAAGAACACCGGUGGCGAAGGCGGCCUGCUGGGCAGUAGCUGACACUGAGGCGCGACAGCGCGGGGGAGACAAACGA